AACGAACGCUGGCGGCAGGCCUAACACAUGCAAGUCGAACGCCCCGCAAGGGAGUGGCAGACGGGUGAGUAACACGUGGGAACGUACCCUUCGGUUCGGGAUAACUCAGGGAAACUUGAGGCUAAUACCGGAUAACGUCCGAGAGGAGAAAGAUUUAUCGCCGAGGGAUCGGCCCGCGUCUGAUUAGCUUGUUGGUGAGGUAACGGCUCACCAAGGCGACGAUCAGUAGCUGGUCUGAGAGGAUGAUCAGCCACAUUGGGACUGAGACACGGCCCAAACUCCUACGGGAGGCAGCAGUGGGGAAUAUUGGACAAUGGGCGCAAGCCUGAUCCAGCCAUGCCGCGUGAGUGAUGAAGGCCCUAGGGUUGUAAAGCUC
rnacentral:rRNA from 1 species